rnacentral:rRNA from 1 species
GAUGAACGCUAGCGGCAGGCCUAACACAUGCAAGUCGAGGGGUAGAAGCUUUCGGGCUUUGAGACCGGCGCACGGGUGCGUAACGCGUAUGCAAUCUACCUUGUACUGAGGGAUAGCCCAGAGACAUUUGGAUUAACACCUCAUAGUAUUUUUGCCUGGCAUCAGGUGAUUAUUGAAGGUUACGGUACAAGAUGAGCAUGCGUCCCAUUAGCUAGUUGGUAUGGUAACAGCAUACCAAGGCUACGAUGGGUAGGGGUCCUGAGAGGGAGAUCCCCCACACUGGUACUGAGACACGGACCAGACUCCUACGGGAGGCAGCAGUGAGGAAUAUUGGUCAAUGGGCGCAAGCCUGAACCAGCCAUGCCGCGUGCAGGAUGAAGCAUCUAUGGUGUGUAAACUGCUUUUGUACGGGAAGAAACACUGCUACGUGUAGCAGCUUGACGGUACCGUAAGAAUAAGGAUCGGCUAACUCCGUGCCAGCCGCCGCCGUAACAC